AUUGAACGCUGGCGGCAUGCCUUACACAUGCAAGUCGAACGGCAGCACGGGAGCAAUCCUGGUGGCGAGUGGCGAACGGGUGAGUAAUACAUCGGAACGUGCCCUGUAGUGGGGGAUAACUAGUCGAAAGACUAGCUAAUACCGCAUACGACCUGAGGGUGAAAGUGGGGACCGCAAGGCCUCAUGCUAUAGGAGCGGCCGAUGUCUGAUUAGCUAGUUGGUGGGGUAAAGGCCUACCAAGGCGACGAUCAGUAGCUGGUCUGAGAGGACGAUCAGCCACACUGGGACUGAGACACGGCCCAGGACACCUACGGGAGGCUG
rnacentral:rRNA from 1 species